rnacentral:lncRNA from 1 species
AUGGAGCAGAGGUGAAAAGAACCUUUUUUCUUGAUAACAUCAUUUAGCUGCUGAAUCAACCAACCCUGAAGACCACCCUACAUCUGAAUCUCCUUUAAUCAGACUUGAGGAGCAUUAAACAACUUUCAGUUUCUUAAGUUUGCAUGUUCUUUCAUGUUUCUCUGUCUGCACAUGCUGUUCCUUCUUCCUGGAAAAGAUAUUCAUGAUUCUGCCAUAUCUGCCUAGUGGAAAUCUUUUGCCAUCAACAGUACACUCGAAUCACUUUCUCACUGGAGCUUUCCUUGAGCUUCUCAGUCUGGUUUAAGUUCCUCUUUGUAGCAGAGGCUGUGGAUGGCUGGUCCAUAUCCCUAGCCCUCACCACCUCAGGGCAUUCAAGCCUGCUUUCCAACUGCUGGUAUCUGCAUUUCUUUGCCCGAGGACACAUGUCGUUUGCCUGUGGAGCAAGCCCAAAUUGGUCCAAAGGAAUACUCCCGGGAGCAACUUCAACCUACGACUAAUGGAAGUUCAGAGGAUGCUGUGACCCCUCAAUGGAUAUGCUAAUCAUCACAUCAGAAGCACAACUAGCUUCAAAUGGAAACCAGAUUGCACUUGGUCACUGACGAAGCAGGAGAUUAAACAAGCUACACUGUGUCUCUGGGAGAACAAAAAGCCAAAAGGCACAUUUAUCACCUCUGAAUCACAAUAAGUCCUGCCUUCAAACAAGAUUUUCU